rnacentral:lncRNA from 1 species
UUAUUUUUUUUUUUCAAUUGGUUUUCUUCUUGGUUUAGGAAUUUAUAUUUAAAAUUUUAUAUGAAAAAUUUCUAAAAAUAAAAUUUCGGGUUGUUUCAGUAAUCUCAUCUAAAGGCUAUGAUUAUUCCUCAAUAUAUUCCUCUCAUAUAAUUAUUUUUUUCUCCAUAAUAAUUAUUAAAUUACUCUAUGAAAAUAAUUCUCCAAUUUUUCUAAUUAAUAAAAAUACCAUAAUUCACUAUUCAUUAAUUACUAAAUACGUCUAAAUAAAUUCAUAGCUUAAUUUCUACCCACUAAAAUUAUGAAUGCAUGUUCCAAAAAUAUUAAAAAAAUAUAAAUUAUAAAUAGAAAUUUUUCAGACCGAAAUAAUACAGACUUCCGAACAGGUGUUACUAUUCACAUAUUAGUAAACUACUAUUUCAAACACUGAAAAGAAAAUAGGACAUUACAAUUUCAGUUCCAAAUGGUUCUGGCGGUUCUCGACCGAUUUUCCAGUGAUUGACAUAAUUUUAAAACAAAAAAAUCUAACUUACACAAAUACCCUUACCAUAAUUAGACAUUAUAUAGUCAUUUCAUAGUUGUUAGGAAAGUUAAUUUAAAGAUUUUAUUUUUUUGAAAAAAUAAAAAAAAAAUAAUAGAACCACCUAUUCUAAUCGGUUGCAAAACCUUUGGCUCCGGCCAGUUCAUGGUUCUAAAAAACUUAGAAGCGAAACUGAACCGCAACCUCUCGGUUCUAGUUCCGCACGGUUCUAGUUCCAAAAAUCGAAAUUUGGCCACCCCUAACUAUAGCAGGUUUACUUGCCACGCUUAUUCAUACAAAAAUAAAUAUUUCUAUAUAGUAGAAAAAAGCCUCCAUUUUAAAUUAUAUUUUUUAAUAGUAACGGAUAAGAUACUUACAUACUUUCAUUAUUAAAUUCAUUUAAUACAUAGAGUAAAUAACGAGCAGCAAUUAUCUAGAUAUCCAUAUCCAGUGAUGGAGCCAUGAUUUUUUCUUAGGUGGACAAAAAUAUCAUUUCAUACGAGCAAAUAUUUUUUAUAUAUAGUCAAAAAAUUUUUAAUCAAAAUAGAAUAAAUAACUACAAAACAAUCAAGAUAUUUAAUAUAAAUAAUAAUUUUCAAUAAGAAAGAAACAAAAAACUUUCUACUUUCAUACUAGAAAUUACAAUGAAAAUAACUACUAGUGUUUAAAAUUUUAAAGUUUGAAUUUCAUUAAAUUAUUUCAAUAAGCAGAGGUAGAGUUAGUUCAUAUCUUUUAUUUUUAUUACAUUUCGUGUAUUUAUAAUUUGUACUUCAAAAUGAAUGGUUUAAUAUUGAAAACAUAUUUACAAUUUGAAGUUGACGUACCAUUAAGAAAAAAAGUUAAUCUAUCAUAAAAUUAUAUGAAAAUAUAAUUUACCUUAAUUUGAAAUAUAUGUCAGGAUUUGUUUGAUAAAUUUAUUUAAAUUAUUAUAAAAGAACCAUUUCUUUAAUUUUUUAAAAAUGCUAUCUUUAAAACAUUUACUGAAGCAAAUGAAAUUAUUAAAAUAUAUCAGACUAUUAUUUGCAGUAAAAAAAAAAAGCAACUUUGAAUAAAUUUAGAUCAAUUUGAUUUCAUAUUAUUUUUAAAAUAUUAAAUUGGAUCUUGAGUUAUAAUGCUAAAUUAAUCUAUUUAAAUAAAUUAAAUAUCAUGUAUUUAUUCAAUGAAUUUAUAAUUCUAAAAUUUCUGCAAGUUAGUUAAGUUUUAAUUAAAUAAUCAAUAAUAAACAAUUGAAUUGAAUUAUAACUAAAUGUUUAUUUUUCUUUAAUAGUUUUUAUAGACAAACUAUCCGGAAAGAGAGUACCAUAGUAAAAAAAGAAAGUAGGACUAAUUUCUAUUAUAAUUUAUAAAGACCAAGUAAAAUUAAGAUAUCCCUUGAAACAAAGAUUAAAAUUAGAAGUUUACUAAGAUUGUAACUACCAAUAUCCGUCUCAAAUAUAUUUAUAACUACUUAAACCUUCAUUAAAUGAUUUGAAACCAGGUACGUACUAAAAUGUACAUAACAAGAUAAAGAUAUUUCUUUCAAGAAAUUAUAAAAAUUAUGUACCAUUAACUAGAAAAUAAAAUUUAGGCUCCAUUUGUUUCCGAAAAAUAAUUUACUCGAAAAUAACUUGCAAAAAAAUAUUUUAUAUGAAAAAUAUUUUACAGGAAAAUACAUUAUUUUCUAACGUUUGACUUUACAUAAAAUAUUCUCGAAAAAUAUUUUUUAACAUUUGAUAUAAUAUUAAAAAAUUUAAUUUUUCUUCAUAUAAUAAUUCGUUUACACCUAGUAUAUUAUAAUGAUGAUUAUAUAUUAAAGUAAAUUUAAUAAUUAGAUUUUCGAUUUAAAAUAUAUUCUCAUCGUAUAAUACUAUAAUGAAGAUUAAUUUAAUCUAAUAAUGUGAUUUAAUUUUUUUAAUUAAAUUAUUUAACAUUACAGUGUAUAUAGGAAUGGAAGUAGGAAUGGAAGCGGGGCAGACACUCUAAAAUAUCUGCUUCCAUCUCUAAGUAUAUAUCAUGUUAAGAUAAUUUAACAAUAUAUAAGUAUUAUAAUUAUGUUAAAAUAUAUUGCUCAAAUAUAUAUUUUAAAUGUAAUGAGCUUUAACAUAUUUUAAAAAAUAUAUUGUUAAAAUAAUUUAAUGAUUAUAUUAAAAUAAACAUGUUGUAAAAAGUAUCAUGUAAAAUAUAUUUUAAAUAGUAUGAACCUAUCAAUAAAUUAUUUUAAAUAAUUUGUUCUAAAAAAAAGUCACUUGGUGUAUUUUAGACACUUUCAAAAAGACUAUGUACCCACAAUUGCACCUGUCAGUGGAAUGUUUCUUGAUGAACCAAAAAGACUAAUUUUAAAUUAUGAAAUAAAUUAGGAAAAUGUUUUCCCAAAUAAACAAGUGUAAAUCAUUUUCCUUAAUCGCUAACUUAUUUUCCACUAACCUACAAUUUAUUUUCCUUAACUUAUUUUCUUUUAAUGUUUGAAAUAGUGAAAAAUUGUGAAAAAUAUUUUUCUGCUUAUAGAAAUAUGCUCUUAUUUUGAAGUUAAAGGUUUUUGUAAAGAUGUAAUUGAUAUAUUAGCACAUGAAAGUAAAAGGGUACGCAGUUUCACAUAUAAUAAAGUAGAUGAAUUUGACACUUGGGUUGUUAUUGUGAUGGAGGUGAAAUUCUUAAUUAGCCCUGGAAAGCUGCAAUCUCCAUAGCCUUGUUGCCUGGGUAGGUGAGCGCUGGUGCGCUGUAUUUGCUGAAAAGUUUGUAGGAGGACACAAGAGAAAGCACCGCGUAGAAAGCUACUGCACCAAAUGUUAUCACUGCAGAUGUUGUGGCCUUGUAACAGAAUCCGCCGAAAGACAUACAAGCUGCACUCCAGGUGAUGGCCAUGUCUCCCUUUCUUGCCAAGUACAACACCUCCACUGACACAGCUCCGGCCGCCAGAAUCGCAUAUGUCAACACCUAAAUUUGAUUUGCUUAAUUGAUUAAUUUUCUUUCUUAAUUGUUUUAUUUUUACAACAUCUAUCUAAAAAUAACCUGGUCGAGGAAGAAGAAUGUCCAGGCCUGGGGCAUGGUGGAUGGUCGAGGCAUGGCUACAAUGAUGGCUGAGAGAAGGGAAUAUCCAGCACAUAUGCCAUUCGCAUGCACCAAGUACCUGUAUUUAUUAAUUACAAUUUAUAGAGCUUGACAAUAAUUGUAAAACAGACUCAAUUAUAUGGAAUUCAUUGGUUCAGUUUGAUGAUAAUAGGAAAAUCGAGACUUUUCAGUGUAAUUCAAUUUUUAAAAUAAAAAAUAAUGCAAUUUUUAUUCUAUUUAGUUUGGUCCCGUAAAUAAUUUAUUUAAAAAUUCAAUUUAUUAUAUUUGUAUUAAUUUUGUUCAAUUUACAAGUAUAUGUAAUUAUUAGGAAUAAGAAUUUUCUUCGGUUCAAAAAGCUGUUGAGCAAAUGAUAUUUUCUUAUACCUUCAAUUAGGAAGAGAAAGGAAAAUAAGAUCCAGUCCCUUUACAAUCUUUAAUUUCCAAAGACAGUUUACUUUUCCUUUCUUUUAUUAUUUCUACUCCCAAAUAAAAAUACUAAUAGAAUUAUCAGUUUAAACUCUUUAAGUUCAAUUGCUUGAUGUAAAUAAUAAGAAAAUAUAAAUUUCCACUAUAAAUAUUUAUAUUUAANNNNNNNNNNNNNNNNNNNNNCAUGUAUUUAUUCAAUGAAUUUAUAAUUCUAAAAUUUCUGCAAGUUAGUUAAGUUUUAAUUAAAUAAUCAAUAAUAAACAAUUGAAUUGAAUUAUAACUAAAUGUUUAUUUUUCUUUAAUAGUUUUUAUAGACAAACUAUCCGGAAAGAGAGUACCAUAGUAAAAAAAGAAAGUAGGACUAAUUUCUAUUAUAAUUUAUAAAGACCAAGUAAAAUUAAGAUAUCCCUUGAAACAAAGAUUAAAAUUAGAAGUUUACUAAGAUUGUAACUACCAAUAUCCGUCUCAAAUAUAUUUAUAACUACUUAAACCUUCAUUAAAUGAUUUGAAACCAGGUACGUACUAAAAUGUACAUAACAAGAUAAAGAUAUUUCUUUCAAGAAAUUAUAAAAAUUAUGUACCAUUAACUAGAAAAUAAAAUUUAGGCUCCAUUUGUUUCCGAAAAAUAAUUUACUCGAAAAUAACUUGCAAAAAAAUAUUUUAUAUGAAAAAUAUUUUACAGGAAAAUACAUUAUUUUCUAACGUUUGACUUUACAUAAAAUAUUCUCGAAAAAUAUUUUUUAACAUUUGAUAUAAUAUUAAAAAAUUUAAUUUUUCUUCAUAUAAUAAUUCGUUUACACCUAGUAUAUUAUAAUGAUGAUUAUAUAUUAAAGUAAAUUUAAUAAUUAGAUUUUCGAUUUAAAAUAUAUUCUCAUCGUAUAAUACUAUAAUGAAGAUUAAUUUAAUCUAAUAAUGUGAUUUAAUUUUUUUAAUUAAAUUAUUUAACAUUACAGUGUAUAUAGGAAUGGAAGUAGGAAUGGAAGCGGGGCAGACACUCUAAAAUAUCUGCUUCCAUCUCUAAGUAUAUAUCAUGUUAAGAUAAUUUAACAAUAUAUAAGUAUUAUAAUUAUGUUAAAAUAUAUUGCUCAAAUAUAUAUUUUAAAUGUAAUGAGCUUUAACAUAUUUUAAAAAAUAUAUUGUUAAAAUAAUUUAAUGAUUAUAUUAAAAUAAACAUGUUGUAAAAAGUAUCAUGUAAAAUAUAUUUUAAAUAGUAUGAACCUAUCAAUAAAUUAUUUUAAAUAAUUUGUUCUAAAAAAAAGUCACUUGGUGUAUUUUAGACACUUUCAAAAAGACUAUGUACCCACAAUUGCACCUGUCAGUGGAAUGUUUCUUGAUGAACCAAAAAGACUAAUUUUAAAUUAUGAAAUAAAUUAGGAAAAUGUUUUCCCAAAUAAACAAGUGUAAAUCAUUUUCCUUAAUCGCUAACUUAUUUUCCACUAACCUACAAUUUAUUUUCCUUAACUUAUUUUCUUUUAAUGUUUGAAAUAGUGAAAAAUUGUGAAAAAUAUUUUUCUGCUUAUAGAAAUAUGCUCUUAUUUUGAAGUUAAAGGUUUUUGUAAAGAUGUAAUUGAUAUAUUAGCACAUGAAAGUAAAAGGGUACGCAGUUUCACAUAUAAUAAAGUAGAUGAAUUUGACACUUGGGUUGUUAUUGUGAUGGAGGUGAAAUUCUUAAUUAGCCCUGGAAAGCUGCAAUCUCCAUAGCCUUGUUGCCUGGGUAGGUGAGCGCUGGUGCGCUGUAUUUGCUGAAAAGUUUGUAGGAGGACACAAGAGAAAGCACCGCGUAGAAAGCUACUGCACCAAAUGUUAUCACUGCAGAUGUUGUGGCCUUGUAACAGAAUCCGCCGAAAGACAUACAAGCUGCACUCCAGGUGAUGGCCAUGUCUCCCUUUCUUGCCAAGUACAACACCUCCACUGACACAGCUCCGGCCGCCAGAAUCGCAUAUGUCAACACCUAAAUUUGAUUUGCUUAAUUGAUUAAUUUUCUUUCUUAAUUGUUUUAUUUUUACAACAUCUA